AACGAACGCUGGCGGCAGGCUUAACACAUGCAAGUCGAACGCAUCCUUCGGGGUGAGUGGCAGACGGAUGAGUAACGCGUGGGAACGUGCCCUUCAGUUCGGGAUAACCCAGGGAAACUUGGGCUAAUACCGGAUACGUGCGAGAGCAGAAAGAUUUAUCGCUGAAGGAUCGGCCCGCGUCUGAUUAGCUAGUUGGUGGGGUAAUGGCUCACCAAGGCGACGAUCAGUAGCUGGUCUGAGAGGUGGAUCAGCCACAUUGGGACUGAGACACGGCCCAAACUCCUACGGGAGGCAGCAGUGGGGAAUAUUGGACAAUGGGCGCAAGCCUGAUCCAGCCAUGCCGCGUGAGUGAUGAAGGCCUUAGGGUUGUAAAGCUCUUUCGUCCGGGACGAUAAUGACGGUACCGGAAGAAGAAGCCCCGGCUAGCUUCGUGCCAGCCGCCGCCGUAA
rnacentral:rRNA from 1 species